rnacentral:pre_miRNA from 1 species
CUACUACUCCCUCCGUUCCAAAUUACUUGUCGUAGGUAUGGAUGUAUCUAGAUGUAUUUUUGUUCUAGAUACAUCCAUUUCUGCAACGAGUAAUUUGGAACGGAAGGAGUAUUAG